rnacentral:tRNA from 1 species
GCUAUUUUGGCAGAAUAAUGUCAUGGUUUUAGAAAUCAUUAAUAUAUAAUUUAUUAUAUAGAUAGUA